rnacentral:rRNA from 1 species
UAAGACAGAGGUGCCGAGCGUUAGGCGGAAUCACUGGGCUUAAAGCGUGUGUAGGCGGGCCGUUAAGUGCCUUGUGAAAUCCCCCGGCUCAACCGGGGAACUGCUGGGCAGACUGGCGGUCUUGAGAGACUCAGGGGCCAUCGGAACAAGUGGUGGAGCGGUGAAAUGCGUAGAUAUCACUUGGAACGCCGGCGGCGAAAGCGGAUGGCUGGGAGUCUUCUGACGCUGAGACACGAAAGCCAGGGGAGCGAACGGGAUUAGAUACCCCGGUAGUCCUGGCCGUAAACGAUGUCGACUAGGUCGCGGAACCUCUGACGGUCUUCGCGGCCGAAGCAAAAGUGCUAAGUCGACCGCCUGGGAAGUACGGUCGCAAGGCUA